GGUGACCUAAAGGUUAUGAGGCAUCGGCAGGUCAUUCAUCCUCUGUUGCAAGAAGUUGGACUGAAGAUGAGUUUACUGGAUCCCACUCUGGUCAUUGACCUGCAGUACCUAGGGGUUCGUCUACCUCUACCCUUUUUAUGUCCAGAACCAAACUCUCCAGGGUUGGCAUCUUCUCCAAGUGGUUCAGU